UGGCUCAGUGGUUAAAGCGCUCGGCUGCUAACUGAAAGGUCAGUGGUUUGAACCCACU
rnacentral:tRNA from 1 species